GGGUGAGUAACACGUGGGCAAUCUGCCCUUCACUCUGGGACAAGCCCUGGAAACGGGGUCUAAUACCGGAUAACACUCCUGCCUGCAUGGGUGGGGGUUAAAAGCUCCGGCGGUGAAGGAUGAGCCCGCGGCCUAUCAGCUUGUUGGUGAGGUAGUGGCUCACCAAGGCGACGACGGGUAGCCGGCCUGAGAGGGCGACCGGCCACACUGGGACUGAGACACGGCCCAGACUCCUACGGGAGGCAGCAGUGGGGAAUAUUGCACAAUGGGCGAAAGCCUGAUGCAGCGACGCCGCGUGAGGGAUGACGGCCUUCGGGUUGUAAACCUCUUUCAGCAGGGAAGAAGCGAAAGUGACGGUACCUGCAGAAGAAGCGCCGGCUAACUACGUGCCAGCAGCCGCGGUAAUACGUAGGGCGCAAGCGUUGUCCGGAAUUAUUGGGCGUAAAGAGCUCGUAGGCGGCUUGUCACGUCGGUUGUGAAAGCCCGGGGCUUAACCCCGGGUCUGCAGUCGAUACGGGCAGGCUAGAGUGUGGUAGGGGAGAUCGGAAUUCCUGGUGUAGCGGUGAAAUGCGCAGAUAUCAGGAGGAACACCGGUGGCGAAGGCGGAUCUCUGGGCCAUUACUGACGCUGAGGAGCGAAAGCGUGGGGAGCGAACAGGAUUAGAUACCCUGGUAGUCCACGCCGUAAACGGUGGGAACUAGGUGUUGGCGACAUU
rnacentral:rRNA from 1 species